GCCAUCUUGCAGGCCUGAUUCUCCCCAAAAGAGACUGCAGUCAGUUGCUCAUCUCUCAAAUUCUGAUGGUAGAAAAACGCUCAGUGAUCUAGACCCAUUCAGGUUCCCCAUCUACCUCGUGAACAUGAUCGAACUGAUUUCUCUUCAUGGAGGUACACCAGCUUCGUUCUGCAAGUUAACCAGUGAAUGCUGAUCAUUAUUCUUGGUUUCCAUGUGAAACCAGAGGGGAAGCACGAGCUUCUAUCUGCAAAUGGGUUUCUUCCCUAUUCUGGGACAUUACAACUGUAGGAUCAUUUCGUUUUUGGCUUGGCAUAAGAACCAG
rnacentral:lncRNA from 1 species